AACGAACGCUGGCGGCAUGCCUAACACAUGCAAGUCGAACGAGACCUUCGGGUCUAGUGGCGCACGGGUGCGUAACGCGUGGGAACCUGCCCUUAGGUUCGGAAUAACUCCCCGAAAGGGGUGCUAAUACCGGAUAAUGUCCUCGGACCAAAGAUUUAUCGCCUUUGGAUGGGCCCGCGUUGGAUUAGCUAGUUGGUAGGGUAAAAGCCUACCAAGGCGACGAUCCAUAGCUGGUCUGAGAGGAUGAUCAGCCACACUGGGACUGAGACACGGCCCAGACUCCUGCGGGAGGCAGCAGUGGGGAAUAUUGGACAGUGGGCGGAAGCCUGAUCCAGCAAUGCCGCGUGAGUGAUGAAGGCCUUAGGGUUGUAAAGCUCUUUUACCCGGGAUGAUAAUGACAGUACCGGGAGAAUAAGCUCCGGCUAACUCCGUG
rnacentral:rRNA from 1 species